UACAGAGGGUGCAAACGUUGCUCGGAAUCAUUGGGCGUAAAGCGCACGUAGGCGGCUUGUCACGUCGGGUGUGAAAGCCCGGGGCUUAACCCCGGGUCUGCAUUCGAUACGGGCAGGCUAGAGUGUGGUAGGGGAGAUCGGAAUUCCUGGUGUAGCGGUGAAAUGCGCAGAUAUCAGGAGGAACACCGGUGGCGAAGGCGGAUCUCUGGGCCAUUACUGACGCUGAGGAGCGAAAGCGUGGGGAGCGAACAGG
rnacentral:rRNA from 1 species